UACGUAGGCAGCAAGCGUUGUUCGGAAUUACUGGGCGUAAAGAGUGUGUAGGCGGUGCUCUAAGUUCGGUGUGAAAUCUCCCGCUCAACUGGGAGGGUGCGCCGAAAACUGGGGUGCUGGAGUGCGGGAGAGGAAAGUGGAAUUCCUGGUGUAGCGGUGAAAUGCGUAGAUAUCAGGAGGAACACCGGUGGUGUAGACGGCUUCUGGACCGUAACUGACGCUGAGACACGAAAGCGUGGGUAGCAAACAGG
rnacentral:rRNA from 1 species